GACGAACGCUGGCGGCGUGCUUAACACAUGCAAGUCGAACGAAGUGGCGAACGGGUGAGUAACGCGUAAUCAACCUGCCCUUCAGGGGGGGACACCAGUUGAAAACGACUGCUAAUCCCGCAUACUGAUGGGGGGGUUUGCGUGGGAUUAGCUGGGUGGAGGGGGAACGGCCCACCAAGGCGAUGGUCAGUCGCCGGUCUGAGGGGAUGAACGGGCACAUUGGGACUGAGAAACGGCCCAGGCUCCCACGGGGGGCAACAGUGGGGAAUCUUCCGAAAUGGAGGAAAGUCUGACGGAGGAACGGCGCGUGGGAUGUGACGGCCUUCGGGUUGUAAAGCUCUGUUAAUCGGGAAGCGGUACCGGAAUAGAAAGCCACGGCUAACUACGUGCCAGCAGCCGCGGUAAUUC
rnacentral:rRNA from 1 species